rnacentral:piRNA from 1 species
UUGGUGUGUUUUUACAGAUGAACUAUUUGG